rnacentral:lncRNA from 10 species
GUUUGGGGCAGAAUCAGCUUGCAGCUGCAUGAUUCAGAGCCUCAGCUGAUGCUGUUUGUUGAUGAGAUACUGGCCUUGGCGUGGGGAUGUUCCCAGCAUGGCUGCUCACGUCAUCAGGCCAGCAAGAAGAGCCUCUCUUCCUUCUACCAAGAUGGAGCUGUACACAGUACAACGCAAAGCCUAAUAACUGGAGCAACAUCCGUGAAGAAGGAAGGAAGUCGGCGGUCUCGCUUGCAUUCAAGAGGAAAGGAUGUGAAGGUCAUUAUUACAAUGAAGGGAAGAAAGGAAGACAUGAAGGGGAAAUGGGACUAUUUACCAAGUGUAUCUGCAUAGACUAAAGGAGACAAGAGGAAGUACUGAGCACCUUGAUUCCUGCAGAUAAUUAUUUAAGAACCAUAAGAAUUCUUUCCUAGCUUCUCAUAAGCCUGCUCCUUCAAAGGGUUAACUGCAGUGAAUCAAACUAUUGGAUUAUAAUUCCAUGAAGUAAGUUUAUUGAAGACAAACAGGCCUUGGGCCGCUGCCUCUGUCUCUCCUGCCUUCCCCACUGAAUCUCCAGCCCACAUUCACAAACAAAGACAAACCUGUGUAAACUGAAGCACCACAAAACUACUUUUAUGAAAGCAGAAUGGAAGAUUUCACCUGCAUUUCCUACAUUCAACUGAAUCCUUUAAAUUGACUGAGGCACAUCCUGUACCAAGGAGAGACCUUUGUUACUGCCUUUGAUCCUGAGACCUUCUGAGCCAGCCUCCUUGGUAUAACCACGCAUUUACGGAAGAUGACGUUACCAGCAGCCCUGGGGCGCAGUCAACAGCAGUGGAAGAGCUGGCUCAUGUGUGGCUCAGGCUGACUCCACAAUCAGAGUGAUUAUGUGGAAAUCAAUCAGAAUUUUCUUCUUAGAAGAUGUUUGUUCUGACAUAAUGACUGACUUUCCAGCUAAUUUUUAUUCAUAGGCUUCUCCUUGCACAAUGAUCUCUAUUUCUCUCAAUGUUAUUCUGUGUCUUUCUUGCUUGCCUGCACAUUCUGAAAAAAAAAGGAAAGCAAUUCCCUACAUUUUAUUUUGAUACUUAAUGUUGUUUGCUAACAUAUUCAGAACACAAUGCAACUUUAUAUAUUAGAGCACUUAUAAUAUAUAUUAGGAAAACAUCAAUUAGGUACCACCAGUUAUUUUAGACAGGUAUCUCUUAGGUAAAAUGUGGUGAAAAUAGAGGGGCAAUGAUAGAAUUCAUAUGUGAAAGAGUCAAUUGGCCAUCAUUAUGCCAAAAUUAUUUUGUGGUUCAGGGGACAUUUUAAACUUUAAUUUUUAAGAAUUAAACUUUAAUUAAAUUUAUUGUAGUUUAAAUGCAAUCACAAGGAAAGACUCUGAACUGGAAACACCAAGCCAAGCUCUUUCCUAGUUCUGGUCCCCUAUAAACCCUGAAAGUUAAUGCAAUUAUUGUAAUUUUUAAACCACCGAGUUCUCAGGGUGAUUAGUUAUGCAGCAAUAGAUAGCCUGAAAAGGACCAUUCUUUCUGGCACUGAAAAUUAAGAAGAGUGAUUAACAACAUAAGAAUGUAGUUUGUGCUGUCUGCCACAGAUUUAUGUUGUAGCUUCAGUGAUUGCUUCAAAGCACCCUUACUAAUUGCCAGCCUAUUGCUGAUACCUAGCUAAAUUAGCAUGUGUUAGUUUUGAUACCACUAUAGGCAUUUAAAGGAUAGCUGAUACAUUCUAUAUAAAAUAUAAUUAUUUUCCUAUCUUUAGUUUAUCCUAAAGUAGCAGCUAUUAUAUUCGCUUCUUGAUUAGCUUUAUACAUAACCAGAGAAAGUAAAAUAUCACAGAGUAUAUUUGAAGACAUAAAAGUCUUUGGACAAAGCUCAAGUAAUGAAUCAGGAUGCUAUUACAUCCUCCACAUGACAGUAAAUAUAUUUUAUAUUCCUAAAUUUUAAGCUUUUAACAAAAGCAAAUUUUAUACUGGACUAUUUCAAUUUCUAGGGAAAGGAAAUUAUCAUUUACUGUCUUUGAGGCUAUAAUCUAUUUAGCCAUUAUUUUUAUAUUGAUCAAUUUAUAAUAAAGGUAAGAGAAAAUACUACCACAUAUAUGUUGUUUAUAUAAUUUUAACUUUCAUAAUUAAAAUACUGGGUAUACUGCAAGAUGUCAAUAUUUAUAAUAGCUUAUAUUUGGAAACAAUUAUACUUUAUAUACUCCUAAUCCAUUGCCUUGUGUGUCAUUGAAGAAAUUGAAGUUCACAAUAAUGACUGAACAAAUGCUCAAAGCUGGUCUGUGGCAGAACCAAAAAUUUCCAUGGCACCUUUCUCUUUCCAUAUUGGGGUGAUCUGCCUAAUUUGACUUUCUGCUUAUAUGUCUAGACUCUACCCCUCAUUCCUUCUGCUAGUGUGUUGUUGAACCCUUUCUAUUAACCCACUCUCGAUUUUUCUGUUGCACAAUCAAUCUGUAGCCUGAAUGUUGAGUCCCAAAUGCAUGAGCUACCUGGCCGAGUAAUCUAACUAGAUUAGCCUGAGUAUAUCACUUUAAGGCCAAUGUAAAGUUAUGUUGUAACUACCUCAUAGUUUUGCAGAGGCAAGAAAUAGAAGUUAAGGAAGAGAAGAAGCCAAUCUUGAAUCAGUUAGAAUUUCCUUGGACAUAGAAAAUCUCUACAAGCAAAAACCCAUUUGAUUGAACAAGCAAGCUUAUGCAGUUAAAUAUAUCAAAGAUCUUGUCACAAAAAGUGUAAAGGGAAAGUAAAAUAAGGAGGGAGCAUGAAGAAGCCAGCUUAUAUUAAAGAUUCAAAGCAGGGAUAUAAGGAAAUUCAAGCCAAAAAUAAGGAAGAAUUCUUAUAAAUGCCCCAAGAAUGAAUUCGAUGUUUGGUCGAUAUUCCAACAGAUUUAGUAAUGCUAUUUUUAAAGUCAACAGGCUGCCCAUUUUUGCCUCACACUCUGACUGCAUGUAAUCUGUCAAGUACUCUGAUGAGUUCUGGAGAUGCUAAUGCAAAAAAGAUAUAAAAUCCUUACCUUGAAAAUGUAGUUCACAAUUUAGCCAUGGAGUUAUGGCAAGCAUCUUGUCUUCAAUUUUAGCCCCUCCUCCAUCCCUCUCCCAGACACCCAUUGUCCUCUUUCUCACCACAUCCACCCCCUUUUUUGUCCUGUCUUUGGUGCACUAUUUAUAAUUCUUCUCAUGUCUACCACAACUAUUUUGGGUAGUAAGAACAUCAGUAUGGAGACCCCUUAAUCCUAACUAAUAUCAACUCUAUCUGUUUGGUAUUAAUUCUUGUUUAUUGAACUUGAGGCAUUGAGUACUACAAAAAUUAUAAUACACUACUGGUGAACAUUACUUUAUUAAUGAUUAGGUUCCACUUGGAUGUUUGUCAUUCGUAUGUAGCUGUUCUCUCCUUGUAGCCUGUAAACUUUCUAUGGAUGUCACAAAAAGAGUUUUAAGGAUUUUGCUUAAAUUAAAAUUAAUACAUCAAGAAAAUACUAUGCCUCAAACAAAAAAUAAUCAGUUAAUUUAGUUUUUAGAAAUCUUUUACAAAAAACGUGAUAUUUAAUAAUCUUUAUGCAAGGAUUUUUGGGAUAUUAAAAUUGUCACAGAUUUAAUAAUACGUUUUAUUGUAUAAAAUUUUUCUUUUCUCUUCAAAGUGUUGGGAGAGUGAAUUCUCUAAGUAAAAACUGAAGAGUAAGAUGUUAUCAUUAAACAUUUCAGAAAAUGCACACUAUCGUAGACUGCGCACUGUGAAAAUGAUCAGCUAGUAGAGGUUUUGGUGAACAUAUAGUAACUUUUAUCAACAAGUAAUGUGAAUAUGUGAAAUCUAUUGCUUUUCCAAAAGAAAGAAACUUUUACACUUCUUGGUAAAGAUAAACUUUCAUGUAAGAAAAAAUAAAAACAUAAUUUUAGCAAUCCAAACCAUACUAAAAUCAUAAACACUUGACCACAUGUUUGAGUACC